UACAGAGGGGGCAAGCGUUGUUCGGAAUUACUGGGCGUAAAGGGCGCGUAGGCGGCGUGCUAAGUCGAACGUGAAAUCCCCGGGCUCAACCCGGGAACUGCGUCCGAUACUGGCAGGCUCGAAUCCGGGAGAGGGAUGUGGAAUUCCAGGUGUAGCGGUGAAAUGCGUAGAUAUCUGGAGGAAUACCGGUGGCGAAGGCGGCAUCCUGGACCGGUAUUGACGCUGAGGCGCGAAAGCCAGGGGAGCAAACGGG
rnacentral:rRNA from 1 species